AUUGAACGCUGGCGGCAUGCCUUACACAUGCAAGUCGAACGGCAGCGGGGGAGAAGCUUGCUUUUCCUGCCGGCGAGUGGCGAGCGGGUGAGUAAUACAUCGGAACGUGCCCUGUAGUGGGGGAUAACUAGUCGAAAGAUUAGCUAAUACCGCAUACGACCUGAGGGUGAAAGUGGGGGACCGCAAGGCCUCAUGCUCUAGGAGCGGCCGUUGUCUGAUUAGGUAGUUGGUGGGGUAAAGGCCUACCAAGGCGACGAUCAGUAGCUGGUCUGGGAGGACGAUCAGCCACACUGGGACUGAGACACGGCCCAGAGUCCUACGGGAGGCAGCAGUGGGGGAUUUUGGACAAUGGGCGAAAGCCUGAUCCCGCAAUGCCGCGUGUGUGAAGAAGGCCUUCGGGUUGUAAAGCACGUUUGUCCGGAAAGAAAUGGCUCUGGUUAAUACCUGGGGUCGAUGACGGUACCGGAAGAAUAAGGACCGGCUAAGUACGUGCCAGCCGCCGCAGUAA
rnacentral:rRNA from 1 species